GGGUCAAUGACCGAGAGGCCAAAGGUGAUAGACUGUAAAUCUAUUGGCACAGCCUACGUUGGUUCGAACCCAACUUGGCCCACCA
rnacentral:tRNA from 1 species